rnacentral:misc_RNA from 1 species
UCAAGACACGGCGAGGCUUAGCGCUGGUAGUGGUGCCUGCGUAGCGUCGCGCUCUCUACUGUCUCAGGCGCGUACGGUCGCCUCCAUCUCUUUGGUCACUGCCGACGAGUCUGCGUCACGGCUCUGCGUUGGUGUGCUCGAAUCAUGAGCAAGCACUUCGCUGGACGAAAGGAUGCAGAGCGCACCACAGGGCUGGCGUACCUGCUUUCACCGUCACGCGUCCAAUCCCCGGGCGAGUUGCGGUUCCGUCGGCACGGCUACGUGCGCUGCGGUUUUGUGAUCGGCAUGUUGCUCUACUUUGUGUACUGCAAUCCGGAGUACAGUUACACCUACACGGCGCUGCGGCAGCGCUGCGGAUGGGACAUGAAGGAGUCGAUGUUCCCGCAGUAUCUCACGUUGCAGCCCUCGCGGAUCCCUCGGCCGUCAACGGCGGGCGAGCAGCAGCCCCCGCCUCAAAGUUCAUCGCCAUUGCGAUCAAGCGCAGCCGGCACUGAGGAGAACGGAUGAAAGAGGGAGGGCGAGUGACGCGUGAUGCGACGCAUCUGCGGCCCCCUACCCUCCCCCUCCUCUCGUGGCCCCCACGGCCGACUAGACGCAGGGGCUUUCCUCUUACAGCUUGCCAUGUGCAGCGUGUCUGUUGCCGCGCACCUUGUUGUCUUUUCCUCCGUUCACGGAGCGACUCUUGUUGUGUGAGUGCGAGUGCGCGUUCGAGCAGGCGUAUCUGUGUGCACCUCUGUUUGUGCAUUACACGGUUGGCCAGGUCCUGGAUGGCACGAUAGGACAGGGCAAGCGCCACCGGGGUUAAGGAGGUGCGUGAGAUGCAUGGCCGUAUUUAGCUGCUGAUGUGCACAUAAGCCAAGCGGGAAAGGGACUCUGGCGCCCUCCGACCUCCUGCUACUGCUGCGCGCCCUCUACACGCCGUCGAUGUGUCGAUUCGCACCGCGGGAAGGCAAGAGACGAGCGGGAAAGCUGCCACAAGGCCCCUCGGAAGAGCACACGGGAGUCAGGAGGUGCGCGGGGGGAGGAGGGCAAGGCAAGACCACUGCUCUAGCCGGGUUGAGCUGAGCGAAGGAGGUAAGCACGAAGCACCAGAGUGCCUGAAUCCAUCCUCUUUAUGUGUGUGUGUAUGUUGCUGUUAUCGUCUUGGCUGAUCUCCGAGAGCGUGUGCGAAAUCGUGGGCAAGGCGGAGAAGGCGAAAUAUUGUGUCAUGGGGCCACGGCGAGAUGAUGAGCGCCACGUUAUUCGUGUGUGCACAUGUAUGCGUGAAUGUGCGCGUCGUGUGGCGCGCGCGCAUCUUUGUUUGCUUUCGCCUACCUUCUCUGCUUCCAGACACAC